CGGUUCUUCGCUGGGGAGUAGCCGGCUUUCCGAAGCGCCCGGAGUGCAACGGAAAGCGCCCAUGUCAACACACUCGGUCAAAUGGCCGUGGCAUGGGCAAGCCGCACAGAUUGGCAAGACCAUCGACGGAACGGACCUGAAGGUCGGGCGGCGCGUUCUGUCGUUCCAUCUUGCCCGGCCAG
rnacentral:sRNA from 2 species